GGCAACGUGCCAGAGUGGUUAAUGGGUCAGACUCGAAAUCUGAUGGGUUCGCCCGCGUAGGUUCAAAUCCUGCCGUUGUCG